UCUCCGUAGGUGAACCUGCGGAGGGAUCAUUACUGAGUGAGGGUUUAACCGCCCGACCUCCAACCCUUUGUGAACACAACUUGUUGCUUCGGGGGCGACCCUGCCGUUCGCGGCGUGGGGCCCCCGGAGCCCAUCAAACCCUGCGUAACUAAGUCGUCGGAGUUUAAACAAAUUAAACAAAACUUUCAACAACGGAUCUCUUGGUUCGGGCAUCGAUGAAGAACGCAGC
rnacentral:misc_RNA from 1 species